AGUGAACGUUGGCGGCGUGCCUAACACAUGCAAGUCGAACGAGAACUGAGUAGCUUGCUACUCGGGGAAAGUGGCGAACGGGUGAGUAACACGUGAGCAAUCUGCCCUCGAGUGAGGAAUAACCCCGCGAAAGCGGGGCUAAUACCGCAUGAUGCUCUGGAGCAUAAGCUUUCAGAGUUAAAGCCCCCCUAGGGGGGCGCUUGAGGAUGAGCUUGCGUCCUAUUAGCUUGUUGGUAGGGUAACGGCCUACCAAGGUUAUGAUGGGUAGCCGGCCUGAGAGGGUGUCCGGCCACACUGGAACUGGGACACGGUCCAGACUCCUACGGGAGGCAGCAGUGGGGAAUUUUGCGCAAUGGGCGAAAGCCUGACGCAGCGACGCCGCGUGGAGGAUGAAGGCUUUCGGGUUGUAAACUCCUGUCAGAGGUGAAGAAAACCCCCUCUAGGGGGGGCUUGACGGUAACCUCAGAGGAAGCCCCGGCUAACUACGUG
rnacentral:rRNA from 1 species